GCCUGCCACUGAGGAGGAGAGAGUAACAGAUUAGCUGCUUGAGGGCCUGUCUCCCAUUCCCACACUCUCACUUCUGCUCCAGCAGCUCACUGGCAUAGAGCUUAAACCAGGGCUUCUCCACUUGUAGUACAAUGGAUGUCUUUGCAGUUUUGUAUUGUGCUUUUGAUGCAGAGGAAACCUGUACCAUUUAAACUGAUCAGACAUCAUUGUAAGGAGGGGGCUCUGGGCAGGCAUAGUGGAGGAGGAGACCCUUAUAUUUGAUUUUCUAAAACAUAGAAAUCAGAAGGUGAGAGGAAAAACAAAGAGCUAGUGUGGGUGUUGUUCCAAGGUGCCAGAAUAUUCCUUCUAGAGCAGCACAGUUGAUUUCCCCACUAAUAGGUGCUAAGAGGGCAUAGGUCUUCCUUUGCUUUGUUUCUACCACACCACCUUAGACGCCAUUUUCUAUACAUGUUAGAGAUCAACAAUUUGACAUAGAAGGAGAGGACACGGGAUGUGGGAGUAAGAAAAAAAAACAGCUUGCAAUAUACUAACUGUAUUUUAACUCCUUUUAUUAUUUUUUUUUAAAGGAAGAAAGACACCAGUGUACUUACAGCAGUACUGAGUUGGAUGCUGGAGUGUGGGGCUAGAGAGGUCACAGAAGUGAUAGAAAUCUGCUGGUGGAGACAGGAGUGACUUGAAGAACUCAGACCAAAUGCAGGACGUCCACUACCAUCUCCAGCUAACCACAGAUGGAUCUAAUGUCACAUCCUGCAGAGAGUCACCCAUGGCUUCUCCAGGUGGAGAUCAGUGCAUCAACUCAAAAGGACUUUAUGCUGGAUGAAUGCAGCAUCUCACUCUUCGAGAACUUAACACGUAACCAAGAGGAUAUAUUCAUGUACCUAUCUGCCCUCCAAAGGACCCCUGGAAGGCAGGGGUGAAGUUCACAUCUUUAUAUGCCUUUUCACCAUUGCCAAGCUCUACAGUGGAAGGCAACCUUUUGUGUUUCAAUAAUAAAAUGAAAAAACAAAGCCAGAUGUCCUCCUAGAUUCCAGCAUUGCCCACCUUGUGAGAAGAAAAACAAUAUUUAUCUUAUUAAUUCGUCUGAAGAUCUGGCUUCAAGAGUCCUUAGGUUACCCAGUUGCUAUGGAAAUGCCAGAUGUGACACCGACUGCCACCUCAGCACAGUGAGAAACACCCAGUCACAGACAGCCUCACACAGCUAAUCUAUGUGCAUCUUCAUGGAAAACGUCCUAGUUUAUCUGUUCAUUGUCUCAAAACAAUCGGAACAUUAAAAGGGACAAGAAAGGUGGGCAGACGAACCCAAGCCCCCUGAACUGUGACAUUUAUUAUCCUGGUAAUUAUUUUAUUCCUACCCUGCUUCUCUCCCUAUAAUUUAACUGGUAUAAGAUAAAUGUACCUAUUCCCUCUAACUGCUUCUAAAUUUACUCGACUGCUACUAGAGAGAAGGACUUAACCUCACAAUAAUUGAAUUUAAAUAACAUCCAAUUCUGUGAAGUUGAACAUGAUCUGCAUAGUAAACAAACCACAGGGUUUGAGGGCUGGCAGGAAGAAAGAAGGUCACACUUAAUGUGCGUGAUUGUAUCCGUACUUCUAAUGGCCCAGAUGUGUAAUCUAAUGUCUGUUUGUCUUUCUGUCUAACUCAUCAUUAACAUCGUUAUGGUUACCAAAGAGCCAAAAUUAAAGGCUCAACUGGCCUCGUUCCUCUGCCUGGCUCAAGAGAAAAACAUAAUUCAGCUAAGCCUUGAGGAACUAGAAUUGGGCUAUUUGCAUACAGUGGGCUGGGCCCAUGUCCAAGGUUCCAGGCUACUACACUUCUCAGGAAGUUUCAGGGAUGCCAGGUCACCAUGUUCUCUUUUUUUGUUCCAGAAACCAAGCCAAAUUAUAUGAGAGGUUAGAGAGAAAGGUGCAGACUUGUCCCCUUGAGUCAGUCCUCCAUGGUCCUCGCACACCAGCAGAGGAGAGUGCAGCCUCAACCCCGCAAACCCUUCAUGGUGCUCCCUGGAGAAACUGUGGUGAAAUUUUCCUAAAAUUAAUUUUCAUUCACUGUGAUUAAUGCAUCAUUCAGAGGGCUUAGGGGAUACGGCGGAGGCUGCAGGUGCAAACAAACUGGAGUCAUGUGUUGCUUUCUGACGCUUCAGAUCAGGGCACUAGGUACUUUAGGAUCGCACAAAGCACAGAAGCAAGACCUUUCCCCGAUGCAAUCCCAGCUUGCCCACUGUCUGGCUGGUGACUAUGAGUUUAAGUGAUCGCUACCUGAAUCCACCGUUUCUGAGAGACGAGGCUGCAUCAGAAUCACUUGGGAAGCGUGUUUGGUGUCUUUGUGCUGGCUGCAACCCAAAGACUCCAACUCCAUGAAGACCCACUUAAAGCAAAAUUGGCUCAGACCUACUUUGUAACGUGUUGGACCAGAUACUCAUUAACAAACCUUCUGCCUCCUACAUUACUUUGAGACUUUUAUGUACACAAAGAUAAAAAUAAGCACUGAGAAUUAAAAUUUAUUGAGGACUCAUUGUGUGCCAAUCCCUGUCACAAACUUUGAAUUCUGGGUUCAAGAACCAAUUCUCCCACUUGGCUGGGUGAGAGAUACUGGGCAAGUUGCUCUAAGCUCCCACCUCAUCGUCUAUAUCCAUAUUGUCCUACUAGUGUUUCUGCUGUGGUUGCACCCCCUCCUCUGUGCUGUGUGUAUG
rnacentral:sRNA from 1 species